CAUGAAGCUGGAAUCGCUAGUAAUCGCGGAUCAGAAUGCCGCGGUGAAUACGUUCCCGGGUCUUGUACACACCGCCCGUCACACCAUGGGAGUCGGAAAUGCCCGAAGUCUGUGACCCAACCUACGGGAGGGAGCAGCCGAAGGCAGGUCGGAUGACUGGGGUGAAGUCGUAACAAGGUAAC
rnacentral:rRNA from 1 species